rnacentral:sRNA from 5 species
UAAGGUUCGAUUCGAGCGUCAGCGAGAAAGCGUUGCCGCAGGCAACGACCCGAAGGGCGAAGCGCGCAGCGCUGAGUCAUCCUUCCCCCACCACCA